GACGUGGCGCCAUUGGUCAGUGCGCCUGGCUGUUAGCCAGAAGGUUGGUGGUUUGAAUCCCACCCAGGGACG